rnacentral:rRNA from 1 species
AUUGAACGCUGGCGGCAGGCCUAACAAAUGCACGUCGAACGAGUGGCGGACGGGUGAGUAAUGUCUGGGAAAAUGCCUGAUGGAGGGGGAUAACUACUGGAAACGGUAGCUAAUACCGCAUACCAUCAGCAGUGCCCAGAUGGGAGUAGCUAGUAGGUGAGGUACAGGCUCACCUAGGCGGCGAUCACUAGCUGGUCUGAGAGUAUGACCAGCCACACGGGAACUGAGACACGGUCCAGACUCCUACGGGAGGCAGCAGGGGGGAAUAUUGCACAAUUGGCGCAAGCCUGAUGCAGCCAUGCCGCUGGUAUGAAGAAGGCCUUCGGGUUGUAAAGUACUUUCAGCGGGGAGGCGUUACCCGCAGAAGAAGCACCGGCUAACUCCGUGCCAGCAGCCGCGGUAAUAC